rnacentral:tRNA from 1 species
GGGGCCUAUAGCUCUAUCUGGUUAGAGCGCACGCCUGAUAAGCGUGAGGGGGGGGGGGGGGGCCCCCUCAGCCCCC